rnacentral:snoRNA from 1 species
CGAUGAUGAAACUUCAAGCUGGCACCAGUCUUAGCAGGACUUGUACUCCCAAAUCUGCUGACUUAGCUUUUACGGCCUCACUUCGCGGUGAUGGUCUUUAUCUGAU